rnacentral:ncRNA from 1 species
ACAAACCCGUUGGGAGGCGGGGACGCAAAACCGCGGACCUCUUCGAGAGAGGUUGCCGGGGUUCCGUA